UACGGAAGGUGCGAGCGUUAAUCGGAAUUACUGGGCGUAAAGCGUGCGCAGGCGGUUUCGUAAGUCUGUCGUGAAAUCCCCGGGCUUAACCUGGGAAUGGCGAUGGAGACUGCGAGGCUAGAGUUUGGCAGAGGGGGGUAGAAUUCCACGUGUAGCAGUGAAAUGCGUAGAGAUGUGGAGGAACACCGAUGGCGAAGGCAGCCCCCUGGGUCAAAACUGACGCUCAUGCACGAAAGCGUGGGGAGCAAACAGG
rnacentral:rRNA from 1 species